AUGAACGCUGGCGGCGUGCCUCAUCCAUGCCAGUCGAGCGAACGGACGAGAAGCUUGCUUCUCUGAUGUUAGCGGCGGACGGGUGAGUAACACGUGGAUAACCUACCUAUAAGACUGGGAUAACUUCGGGAAACCGGAGCUAAUACCGGAUAAUAUUUUGAACCGCAUGGUUCAAAAGUGAAAGACGGUCUUGCUGUCACUUAUAGAUGGAUCCGCGCUGCAUUAGCUAGUUGGUAAGGUAACGGCUUACCAAGGCAACGAUGCAUAGCCGACCUGAGAGGGUGAUCGGCCACACUGGAACUGAGACACGGUCCAGACUCCUACGGGAGGCAGCAGUAGGGAAUCUUCCGCAAUGGGCGAAAGCCUGACGGAGCAACGCCGCGUGAGUGAUGAAGGUCUUCGGAUCGUAAAACUCUGUUAUUAGGGAAGAACAUAUGUGUAAGUAACUGUGCACAUCUUGACGGUACCUAAUCAGAAAGCCACGGCUAACUACGUG
rnacentral:rRNA from 1 species